rnacentral:rRNA from 1 species
UACGUAGGGGGCAAGCGUUGUCCGGAAUCAUUGGGCGUAAAGAGCGUGUAGGCGGCCAGAUAAGUCCGCUGUGAAAUCUCGAGGCUCAACUUCGAGCUGUCGGUGGAAACUGUCUGGCUAGAGUCCGGAAGAGGAGAAUGGAAUUCCUGGUGUAGCGGUGAAAUGCGCAGAUAUCAGGAGGAACACCGGUGGCGAAGGCGGGUCUCUGGACAGUUCCUGACGCUGAGGCACGAAGGCCAGGGGAGCAAACGGG